rnacentral:rRNA from 1 species
CCUACGGGGUGCAGCAGUCGAGAAUCAUUCACAAUGGGGGAAACCCUGAUGGUGCGACGCCGCGUGGGGGAAUGAAGGUCCUCGGAUUGUAAACCCCUGUCAUGUGGGAGCAAAUUAAAAAGAUAGUACCACAAGAGGACGAGACGGCUAACUCUGUGCCAGCAGCCGCGGUAAUACAGAGGUCUCAAGCGUUGUUCGGAAUCACUGGGCGUAAAGCGUGCGUAGGCUGUUUCGUAAGUCGUGUGUGAAAGGCGCGGGCUCAACCCGCGGACGGCACCUGAUACGGCGAGACUAGAGUAAUGGAGGGGGAACCGGAAUGCUCGGUGUAGCAGUGAAAUGCGUAGAUAUCGAGAGGAACACUCGUGGCGAAGGCGGGUUACUGGACAUUAACUGACGCUGAGGCACGAAGGCCAGGGGAGCGAAAGGGAUUAGAUACCCCAGUAGUC